rnacentral:rRNA from 2 species
GCCGCGGUAAAACCAGCACCUCAAGUGGUCAGGAGGAUUAUUGGGCCUAAAGCAUCCGUAGCCGGCUCUGUAAGUUUUCGGUUAAAUCCAUGUGCUCAACGCAUGGGCUGCCGAAAAUACUGCAUAGCUAGGGAGUGGGAGAGGUAGACGGUACUCGGUAGGAAGGGGUAAAAUCCUUUGAUCUAUCGAUGACCACCUGUGGCGAAGGCGGUCUACCAGAACACGUUCGACGGUGAGGGAUGAAAGCUGGGGGAGCAAACCGGAUUAGAUACCCGGGUAGUCCCAGCUGUAAACGAUGCAGACUCGAUGAUGCAUUGGCAUAUAGCCAGUGCAGUGUCGCAGGGAAGCCGUUAAGUCUGCCGCCUGGGAAGUACGUACGCAAGUAUGAAACUUAAAGGAAUUGGCGGGGGAGCACGGUCAUACUGGUUUCCUGA